AAUGCGAUAAGUAAUGUGCAUUGCAGAAUUCAGUGAAUCAUCGAAUCUUUGAACGCACCUUGCGCUCCUUGGUAUUCCGAGGAGCAUGCCUGUUUGAGUGUCAUGGAAUUCUCAACUCUAUUUGCUUUUGUGAAUAGAGCUUGGAUUUGGAGGUUUAUUGCUGGUACUUGUGAUCGGCUCCUCUUGAAUGCAUUAGCUCGAACCUUUGCGGAUCAGCUAUCGGUGUGAUAAUUGUCUACGCCGUUGCAGUGAAGCAUAUCAAUGGGCUCGGCUUCCAAUCGUCCUUUACUGGACAAUGACUUUGACCUUUGACCUCAAAUCAGGUAGGAUUACCCGCUGAACUUAAGC
rnacentral:misc_RNA from 1 species